CCCUUCCAAUCUUAUAGGUUCAGGAUCAUUUUAAUGGAGUGGUCCCAGACGAUACGAUACAGGUCCAGCAUCAGAUGAAUGGGGAGGACACAGUUGAUACAACAUUGGUGUGGCGUUCAAGACCAGGAUCCACAGCUCCAGACACAGACCUCAUCUCAAGUGCUCCAUUGUGACACCCCACUCGAUCGGGUAGGGGAUCUUCUGCGCCAUCCCCCGAGAAGGUCUCGGUGUGCAUAAACCUUGCUUCAUGGACCAUCUCUCUUAUGUGGACACGAGCCAAUUCCCAGAAAUGCCCUGCUUGUCAAGAUGGUCAUG